rnacentral:rRNA from 1 species
GACAGAGGGUGCAAACGUUGUUCGGAAUUACUGGGCGUAAAGCGCGUGUAGGCGGCUCUGCAAGUCGGAUGUGAAAUCCCACGGCUCAACCAUGGAAGUGCAUUCGAAACUGCAGGGCUAGAGUCCUGGAGAGGAAGGUGGAAUGCUUGGUGUAGAGGUGAAAUUCGUAGAUAUCAAGCGGAACACCGGUGGCGAAGGCGGCCUUCUGGACAGUGACUGACGCUGAGACGCGAAAGCGUGGGGAGCAAACAGG